UACGGAGGGUGCAAGCGUUGUCCGGAUUCAUUGGGUUUAAAGGGUGCGCAGGCGGGACAUUAAGUCAGGGGUGAAAGACGGUUGCUCAACAAUCGCAGUGCCUUUGAUACUGGUGUUCUUGGGUGACCUUGAGGUAGGCGGAAUGGGUGGUGUAGCGGUGAAAUGCAUAGAUACCACCCAGAACUCCGAUUGCGAAGGCAGCCUACUGGAGGUUUACCGACGCUCAGGCACGAAAGCGUGGGGAGCGAACCGG
rnacentral:rRNA from 1 species